CCUAAGGCGAGGCCGAAAGGCGUAGUCGAUGGGAAACGGGUUAAUAUUCCCGUACCUCUUAUAGUUUCGAAGGAAUGACGCAUGAGGUGAAGCCCGGCCGGGCGAUGGUCGUCCCGGUCUAAGUGUCCGAGUCAAUGACUUGCCGAGGAAAAUCCCGGCGAGGAGGCGAGGAGCGAAGGCGAGUGGAGCUACGGCAAAGCGAAGCGGGUGUAAUCAAGGUGCCAAGAAAUAAUUUCUAAGGAUAGGCUAUAAGGGACCGUACCGGAAACCGACACAGGCAGGCGAGAAGAGAAUUCUCAGGCGUACGAGAGAACUCGCGUUAAGGAACUCGGCAAAAUGCACACGUAACUUCGGGAUAAGUGUGGCCCCCAAUGGAUGUCAAAGUUUAGGGGGGGUUGCAGUGAAAUGGCCCAAGCGACUGUUUACCAAAAACACAGGUCUCUGCGAAUCUGUAAAGAGAAGUAUAGGGACUGACACCUGCCCGGUGCCGGAAGGUUAAGGGGAGUGGUGCAAGCUACGAACUGAAGCCCCGGUAAACGGCGGCCGUAACUAUAACGGUCCUAAGGUAGCGAAAUUCCUUGUCGGGUAAGUUCCGACCCGCACGAAUGGUGUAACGACUUGGGCGCUGUCUCAACGCGAGACUCGGUGAAAUUCAAGUACCGGUGAAGAUGCCGGUUACCUGUGGUUAGACGGAAAGACCCCGUGAACCUUUACUGCAGCUUGGCAUUGAAACUUGGUUUGACAUGUGUAGGAUAGGUGGGAGACUAGGAAGCGUGGGCGUUAGCUUGCGUGGAGUCGAACAGUGAAAUACCACCCUUGUUAGGUUAGGUUUCUAACGCGGGCCGUGAACCGGUCUGCGGACCCUGUCAGGUGGGCGGUUUGACUGGGGCGGUCGCCUCCUAAAGAGUAACGGAGGCGCGCGAAGGUCACCUUACGCUGGGUGGAAAUCAGCGGGUAAGUGUAAAGGCACAAGGUGGCUUAACUGCGAGACAUACAAGUCGAGCAGGUACGAAAGUAGGUCUUAGUGAUCUGGCGGUGGCGAGUGGAAGCGCCGUCACUUAACGGACAAAAGGUACUCCGGGGAUAACAGGCUGAUCUUGCCCAAGAGUUCAUAUCGACGGC
rnacentral:rRNA from 1 species